GAACAAAAACUUCACGGAACAAACACAUUCACUCAACAUAUAAAUAUCAUUAACUAAACUCUCCGCACAUCAAGUUUCAUUUCCUUAUUCAGUAAUGAUUAAGUCAUGCACUUCUUCCCUACAGCAUGCCCGGAGACCUUCGCGAAUUGUUGCCAUCUUUGCCAUCUUCACUGAGUCACACUGCAGCGUGCCCCCUUCAAAUUUCAGUAACCCAGCAAAAUCCCUUGCUGCUCCACCCCCCCCCCCCCUUUCCCCGGCGCCGCCCCUCUUCCUUUCUUCCCAUUCCAUGCCCCAUCACAAUUAAGUUUAGGUUUAAUUGUUAUAUCCUCCCUAAGCACCUUAAAUUUCAAGAUUUAUAAUGUUUUCUUAAAAUUGCUUUCUUUAAAAAUUUCAGCCAAAUUAUUUCGAGGAAAUUAUAGUAAUAGUCCUUCAACUUUAAUCUAAUUGAACUAAUGGUCCCUCUACUAAAAAUUCAUGAUCAUUGGUCCCUUAACUUCUUAAAACGUGCAGCUAUGGUCCUUUUCAUCAACUCCGUUAGAACUAGGGGUGGGCAAACGGGUAUAGAAACCGCGGGUCGAGACGGGUACGGGCCGGUUCCUAAUUUUUAAAAAGUGAAACGGGGAGGGACGAGGUGGGCCGGGGCUUUAAAAUUUUAAGUUUGGACCGGAUCCAAAAGUAUAGAAAAACGGGUAGCCGGACCGGCCUGUUUGUAAUUGCAAUGGGCGGAAGAGAUCGAAGAGGAACCUAGUUUCACAUCCGAAUCGUUUGUUUAGUGUUUUACCCUAGGACUAGGUCUCCUCCUCAAGCUCAACUCUUAGCUCUGUUACUGGUCCUCGAACUCGGACUCGAUUCUCUCUCGCCGUCUCGCCUCGUCGUCUCCUCCACCACCCUGAGCUCGACUCUGUCACUGGACCGAGGUCUCCUCGAGCUCGACUUUGCCAAUGCCCAAACCAAUGAAGGUUGGUUCUGAUUUAGUUAUUACCGUACAUGUUGAAAUUAAUCACAGAUAUGGGUACUAACAGGUUGUAUGAGAGUGUGUUUGUUUGAUUGAGUUGUAAAAUCGUCGGUCUAUGUUUCUUGCUCUGGGAUUUCACCUUGCAAAACGGAGUCGUCUACUUCGGUGGGAUUUCACAGAUAUAGCCAUUUUUUUGGGUGUAUGAUGGACAUGGUGGGAAGAAGGCUGCAGAUUUUGUUGCUGAGAAUUUGCACAAUGAUAUUGUUGAAAUGAUGGAAAUGCAUACGGAAAUUGAAUAGGCAGGGAAACAGGGUGGGUUUUCAUGGGAAGGUGAGGGGUUGGGGAGUUUGGUGUUCUGCGGAGCAGGGGAUAAACAGAUGGGUUACAGUCUCUGGAGGAAUUGCUCAAGGCGUCAGCGGAGACGCUGGGGAACGAAGAGGAUGACGAAGACCCGUGGGGACCCGUAGGAACCGGCCUGUUCAAAGGUCCGGUUAGGUCCGAAUCCCAUUUUGAAAAAUCCAAAACCCACCCUGCCCCGCCCCGUUUUAUUUACAAACAAGUUCGGUCCGGUUCCUUCAAUUUUGGACCUGGCUUGGCCUGUGCCCACCCCUAGUUAGAACUUCUGUGAAAAUGAGUCACAUGUCACACACAUGAGACUGAAUUGAGGGUCAAAUAUGGAAAACCAAAUAAGAAAAAUUGUAGCAAUGGUCAUUCCAACAUGACUCAUUUUGAUGAAAUUAUGAUGGAGUUAACGAAAAAGAUCAUAGAUGUUAUUUUUUACGAGUUAAGGGACCAAUGGUCAUGUAUUUUUAGUUGAGGGACCAUUGCUCAAUUGAAUUAAAGUUGAGGGAUCAUUACUA